rnacentral:rRNA from 1 species
AUUGAACGCUGGCGGCAUGCCUUACACAUGCAAGUCGAACGGCAGCACGGGAGCAAUCCUGGUGGCGAGUGGCGAACGGGUGAGUAAUAUAUCGGAACGUGCCCAGUCGUGGGGAUAACGUAGCGAAAGCUACGCUAAUACCGCAUACGAUCUAUGGAUGAAAGCGGGGGAUCGCAAGACCUCGCGCGAUUGGAGCGGCCGAUAUCAGAUUAGGUAGUUGGUGAGGUAAAGGACUCACCAAGCCGACGAUCUGUAGCUGGUCUGAGAGGACGACCAGCCACACUGGGACUGAGACACGGCCCA